rnacentral:rRNA from 1 species
AACGAACGCUGGCGGCAUGCCUAACACAUGCAAGUCGAACGAUGCCUUCGGGCAUAGUGGCGCACGGGUGCGUAACGCGUGGGAAUCUGCCCUUGGCUUCGGAAUAACAGUUAGAAAUGACUGCUAAUACCGGAUGAUGUCUACGGACCAAAGAUUUAUCGGCCAGGGAUGAGCCCGCGUAGGAUUAGGUAGUUGGUGGGGUAAAGGCCUACCAAGCCGGCGAUCCUUAGCUGGUCUGAGAGGAUGAUCAGCCACACUGGGACUGAGACACGGCCCAGAAUCCUACGGGAGGCAGCAGUGGGGAAUAUUGGACAAUGGGGGGGACCCUGAUCCAGCAAUGCCGCGUGAGUGAUGAAGGCCUUAGGGUUGUAAAGCUCUUUUACCAGGGAUGAUAAUGACAGUACCUGGAGAAUAAGCCCCGGCUAACUUCGUGCCAGCAGCCGCCGUAAAAC